rnacentral:rRNA from 1 species
UGGGGAAUAUUGCACAAUGGGCGCAAGCCUGAUGCAGCCAUGCCGCGUGUGUGAAGAAGGCCUUCGGGUUGUAAAGCACUUUCAGCGAGGAGGAAGGUGGUGAACUUAAUGCGUUCAUCAAUUGACGUUACUCGCAGAAGAAGCACCGGCUAACUCCGUGCCAGCAGCCGCGGUAAUACGGAGGGUGCAAGCGUUAAUCGGAAUUACUGGGCGUAAAGCGCACGCAGGCGGUUUGUUAAGUCAGAUGUGAAAUCCCCGGGCUCAACCUGGGAACUGCAUUUGAAACUGGCAAGCUAGAGUCUCGUAGAGGGGGGUAGAAUUCCAGGUGUAGCGGUGAAAUGCGUAGAGAUCUGGAGGAAU